rnacentral:rRNA from 1 species
AAAUGAAUAGACGGGGGCCCGCACAAGCGGUGGAACAUGUGGUUUAAUUCGACACUACGCGAGGAACCUUACCUAGGCUUGACAUGCUUUUGACAGUCGUAGAAAUACGAUCUUCCUAACUUGUUAGGACAAUUGCACAGGUGCUGCAUGGUUGUCGUCAGCUCGUGUCGUGAGAUGUUGGGUUAAGUCCUUUAACGAGCGCAACCCUUGCCGAUAGUUGCUAUUUGUUUUACAAAGCACUCUAUUGGGACUGCCUGGGAAACCAGGAGGAAGGUGGGGAUGACGUCAAAUCAUCAUGGUCCUUAUGUCUAGGGCUACACACGUGUUACAAUGGUUGGUACAAAAGGAUGCAAAUCUGUAAAGAGGAGCAAAUCCUAAAAGCCAAUCUAAGUUCGGAUUGCGGUCUGCAACUCGACCGCAUGAAGUUGAAAUCGCUAGUAAUCGCGUAUCAGCAACGACGCGGUGAAUACGUUCACGGGCCUUGUACACACCGCCCGU